CGCUAUAUGGAUUGUGCCACCUUCUUUUGCAUGUAUCUUCUCUAUUUGGACUCUGUUUGGGCUAGUGUUACGCUCAUUGAACUCCGUUCGUAGUCUUGGACCUCGCUGUAGACUCAAUAUGGAUCGAAUCUCGAGACAUCAAAUUCUAAUAAUUUUUAUCUUGACUUGACAUUCGACCUCCUCCUAACUCUGAGAACUUUUAGAUCUCCUCACCCUCAUGCUCUAGGAUAAUCAUCUGC
rnacentral:lncRNA from 1 species